AACGAACGCUGGCGGCAUGCCUAAUACAUGCAAGUCGAACGAUCUCUUCGGAGAUAGUGGCGCACGGGUGCGUAACGCGUGGGAAUCUGCCCUUGGGUUCGGAAUAACGUCGGGAAACUGACGCUAAUACCGGAUGAUGACGUAAGUCCAAAGAUUUAUCGCCCAGGGAUGAGCCCGCGUAGGAUUAGCUAGUUGGUAAGGUAAAGGCUUACCAAGGCGACGAUCCUUAGCUGGUCUGAGAGGAUGAUCAGCCACACUGGGACUGAGACACGGCCCAGACUCCUACGGGAGGCAGCAGUAGGGAAUAUUGGACAAUGGGGGCAACCCUGAUCCAGCAAUGCCGCGUGAGUGAUGAAGGCCUUAGGGUUGUAAAGCUCUUUUACCCGGGAUGAUAAUGACAGUACCGGGAGAAUAAGCCCCGGCUAACUCCGUGCCAGCCGCCGCCGUAA
rnacentral:rRNA from 1 species